CUAAAGAGUAAAGUACUAUGUAAACCAGUAGAGUACUACGUAGCAGCUCCGUGCCAAAGUUAUAAAAGCAACGAGCGUCUCGGCCACGCCCUGUGGCGAGUGGGAGUUGGAUUUGCAAGUGAGUGUAGGAGGUCAGCGGUAGUUCAGCAUUAGCAUAUAGCAUUAGCAUAUCCUAGUCUUAGCAUAUCUUUUAGUGUUAUAAAUACUUAUUUAGUGUUACAUUUGGCUGUUUGAUAUUGUAGUUUAGUUAGUGUUUGGCUGUUAGUGUAAUUGGGAAAGUAUUUCGUGUUUAGUGCUCCAUAUCGUCUUAGUAUUGGUGAGUAGGUGUAGUGUAGUAUGCUUGCGGUGACUCUGUGGGCAUUUUACCCGCGAUUCUGCACGUCUCCGUUUGAAGAGGGAGGCUGCCCACCGUGGCUCUUCCGCGAUUUAGAUGCAGCCCACCGACUCUGCUCCCCCACCACGGUGGGCUCCAGUCUGAGGUGAGUAAGCUAAAUAAACGUUUUAACAUCUUCUAAAGACAAUUCCCUACCUAAAUGCAAAGUUUGAGAGACGUGGUUCACUUCCUUUAGCUAGUCAGUCGGCAAUUCUGCAAAAGUGGCUCUAACUGACGCAGCACUUGACAGACAGCAUUACAGCAUGAAAUCCAGCUUGUGAACAGGUUCUGUGAGGAAUUCUGUUCAGGAGGUCGCAUUUCAGGCUCUCCACAUCAUGUGUGACUGACUUUUACGUUAUAAUGAUCACACACUAGAAAUGUUAUAAAGCGCCUAUAUGGGACAGUUUCUUUUGUAUAUUAUCUGACUUUAUAAACUCUCAACAACAAUGUGCUUAUAUAUUUUUUUCAGGCUAAAUCUACCCAAGACACUGGCUGUCAGACUGAUUUAGCUGCAAGAAUGCACUUGUCCAGGCUGACGUGAAACCUUCCCUGUAGCAAAGCCAGCCAGAAUGGAGUUCACAGCCGCAGUGUGUCUGGUGACCCACGGGGACCAUGAUGAAAAUUCAUCUUCCAGAAGGUCCCAGAGCAGCGGCCGCACUCCCCUGAAAAGACCAAGGUGUGAGGUGUCUGCUGUUGAUUCCAGCUUCCACCUCAGUGACGGUGCAAGCUCAGUGAACUGUUCAAGGACACUCAGCAAAAUAUGGACUCUACACCAUGAGGCAGGCACACGUUAAUAACUCUAUAAGAGCACAUAAGCAUGAGGAUGUCCUCACACACCUGUAACCUAUCAGCUCAUCUGGCAGAAUAGAGAGAGAAGAGACAACACCACAUCUCCUGUUCCUGGAAAGCCUUCAGCCAUCCUUCGAUGACUGAGAACCUCCAUCAGCUCUGUCUCCUGUCUGCCUACAAUUAUUAUAAUAAAUAUUGUGUUUGACAAGUUUUUUUGUGCUGCCAAAUAUCUCAUAUAGAUUCCAGUUUUGAUAUUUUAAUGGAUAUUUAUAAAUUACAUUAAUUGAAUUAUCACA